UACGUAGGGUGCGAGCGUUAUUCGGAUUUACUGGGCGUAAAGCGUGUGUAGGCGGUUGUUCAAGUCCUUGGUUAAAGACCCGAGCUCAACUCGGGGAAUGUUGAGGAUACUGUUCGACUAGAGGUUUGCAGGGGCAGACGGAAUUCCCGGUGUAGCAGUGAAAUGCGUAGAUAUCGGGAAGAACACCAAUGGCGAAAGCAGUCUGCUGGGCUUAUCCUGACACUGAGACACGAAAGCGUGGGGAGCGAACGGG
rnacentral:rRNA from 1 species